UCGUUUACAUCUAUGCAAGGAAAGGUAUUUCUCUUCGCUUUUGUCAGCGCCGUCGUCGCACAGCAGUAUAGGCACGGGCGUUGCAACCAAACGGUUCUGGAACCUUAUCGUGGAGACGCCUCGUGACACAAGUGGACUUUUGAGAGAGGAAACUGCAAAGAAGUAUAGCCGUGGGUGGCUUUCCAUUUGACACCAUCAACGUAUUUGACACUAGGGGAGACUGCAGGAGGCUAUGCCUGCUGGUCUAAUGCCACAUUGGCACGUGUGAUGUCCAAAUCCAUGAACUACUCUACAUUGGAAACCAUACAGCAGUUUCACGCCUUUAUUCCUACAUAUCUAGCUGGAGAUAUGCGACUGAUGUGAUACCAGUUUUCUUCAGGUGUGAGACCUAAUCCGUAUCCUGCGACAACGGCAAAGCCCUAGGAAGAUCGAUGGCACAAUAAACAAAAUCGCCCAAAACUAUAUCUGACAGUACAGCGCAAUAAAAAUUUUCUCAGGCCGGC